GAUGAACGCUGGCGGCGUGCCUAAUACAUGCAAGUCGAGCGAACGGACGAGAAGCUUGCUUCUCUGGUGUUAGCGGCGGACGGGUGAGUAACACGUGGAUAACCUACCUAUAAGACUGGGAUAACUUCGGGAAACCGGAGCUAAUACCGGAUAAUAUUUUGAACCGCAUGGUUCAAAAGUGAAAGACGGUCUUGCUGUCACUUAUAGAUGGAUCCGCGCUGCUUUAGCUAGUUGGUAAGGUAACGGCUUACCAAGGCAACGAUGCAUAGCCGACCUGAGAGGGUGAUCGGCCACACUGGAACUGAGACACGGUCCAGACUCCUACGGGAGGCAGCAGUAGGGAAUCUUCCGCAAUGGGCGAAAGCCUGACGGAGCAACGCCGCGUGAGUGAUGAAGGUCUUCGGAUCGUAAAACUCUGUUAUUAGGGAAGAACAUAUGUGUAAGUAACUGUGCACAUCUUGACGGUACCUAAUCAGAAAGCCACGGCUAACUACGUG
rnacentral:rRNA from 1 species